rnacentral:tRNA from 1 species
UCUUAUUUGGUGUUAAGCACAAGAAACUUUGACUUUCUAGGAGUUAUUACAAUAA